UUGGGUUUUUAUUGGUGAGGAAGAAUAAUAAGAAGACAGAGAAGUAGGCACUCACGCAACCCUCUCUCACCGCCGUCUCAUCUCCUCCGCGGCUCCGCCGCCUUCGCCUCCCCUCCCCUCCCACCUCAGCGCCGCUGCCUCUGUCUGCUCCGCCUCGCUCUCCUCCGUCCCUUCACGCGCCACGCCGCCUCCACAGGGUCCAGCCUCCACCGGAGCCGAUCUCUCCGCUGAGCACGCCCCGCGCCGCCGUUGCUGCCAAGGGCUCCUUGGGGCCGUUGCAGCCGGGGAGGCGGCCUGCAGGAGGGCCCUAAAUGCGGCCGACGACUCCAUCCCCGGUCGCAUGUGGCGGCAGCCAGCCCAGCUCCGCCUCUUCCAGCCCAUCUUCUUGGGCAUCAUUGGUAGUGAAGAAGGACUCUUGCAGCUGCGAAAUAUUAGAAGAGGAAAAUCUUAUGGUUUGAAGGGUUCAGAUCCAUAAUCUGAUAAUAUUAGGACCCUUGAUCCUUCAACCAUUAUGAGAUUUCAAGGCAGAUAGUGCAACUUGUACUGUUUACCUUGAUUAAAUCAAUGCCUUCUGUAGCUUAAGGUUUAAUUAGCAGACUACUAAUGCUUUGAUAUUCUCCUUUCUGAAUUCCAUACUUGGUACAACAAUGUUCCUCACCCGGUCACCCCAAACUGGUGGAAUAUAAGAACGAUCGGAACUGGGACACAAUGUCCGGUGACUAUCUUGUUUUCCCUGGAGGCGGGACUCAAUUCAAAUAUGAUGUUGCAAGAUACAUACAGUUUGUAGAACAGGUGCUACGUGACUUCACUGGUCGCAUUAUUGACUGAGAUUUCGAGUACGACAACUUCACAAAAAUGGCACAAAAAAUCCUGUGCUACAAAGGCUAGCUUCAUAGUGUCCAUGGCAUGUUGAUGGCUAGCUCUACUGCGUCUACACCGUGGAGCUCGAAGGCUGCUGCUAUUACUUCUUGCGCCAUUAUUUGGCAACCUACUGCUGCAGUCUCCAGAGAUGACACCAUUAGUAUGGGUCAGUUGCAUUGGUGACGCUGAGCACAAAGCUAUGAAUCCACUCCCUUUUGCUCUGGACUGUGUUUGGUUAUGGCGUAAACUGGCUAUCUCGACAACAUUUAUGCUGAAGUUAUCGACCCUCCAAAGAAUGGGAUGUUAGAUGUCAUAGAACUUGUCUGUGGUGUUAUCAAGCAUUCACGGAAUCCAAAUGUCAUGGUUUCUAGAAAUGGGCGUGAGCUAUUGGAAUGCCCCAUGUGUUUGGUUCCCAUGUAUCCUCCAAUUCAUCAGUGCUCCAAUGUCCAUGCUAUUUGUUCUGAAUGCAAGCCAAGGGUUCAUAAAUGCUUUGGAGAAGGUUGGCGCCUCUCUAGAGGUUCUGUACAAGUUCCAGAACUUUGGAUGCUUGGGAAUAUAUCCUUAUUAUUGCAAGUUGAAACAUGAAUCAGAGUGUCAAUACAGACCAUAUACUGGCCCACAUGCAGGUUUUAAAUUUUUGUGGAUUUAUGUGAUGGAAUCUUGAUAUGUCGAGAAUGCGUCGAGAAAAUGCAACAUGACUUGUUGUUUGAAGUUACAACCUUACAGGGGCAUCGACUCAAAUUUGCAACGACGAAUUUUAUACCAUGCUUGUGUAGCUCAGUCUGUGGCGGGCGAGGCGUGGGAGGUGACGAUGACGAAUGAUAUGGUGGUCAGCAGAUAAAAGAAGCCGUUCAUCUCCAUUGCCCAGUUGGGGCCUCUUAGGGGACUAAUCUAGCAUCGGGCGUUACAGGAGGAGAGACGCUCUCAUGGAUUAGGAUGUUGCACAUCAUUGACGGGUCAUUCCAUGGAUUAGGAUGUUGCACAUCAUCGACGGGUCAUUCCAUGGAUUAGGAUGUUGCACAUCAUCGACGGGUCAUUCCGCAUGCUGCUCUUGUUGAUUUGUUCUUGACAUAUCCUCUGUGGUGUUGUUCCUUUUGAACCACUUGGUGGUUUAUAUUAGCAAGUACUAUCAUUUGGUCACUUUUGAACCACCGAUAUUGUAUGCGAUCAGUCCUCUAAACAAUAAAACUAUUGCUUUUGUGUAGUA